ensembl:lncRNA
CAAGGACUCGAGCAUCAAUGUAUUUUUUAACAAGUGUUACAUGCAGGCAUAUGUAAAUCAGCAAAAUCACAACGGAUCUGGGGAAGUUAGCUUAAGGUCUUAGGAAACAGGUCUUAGGAAAACUUAGGUCUUAGCUAAACCUUAGAUUUUAGGAAACAGGUCUUAGGAAA